rnacentral:tRNA from 1 species
GUCUAAAAGCGAAUCGCGCCAAGUUUCGGCCUUGGUUCUGAGAUUUUUUAUUCUCUUAGAUA